UACGGAAAGGCAGCAGUGGGGAAUAUUGCACAAUGGGCGCAAGCCUGAUGCAGCCAUGCCGCGUGUAUGAAGAAGGCCUUCGGGUUGUAAAGUACUUUCAGUCGUGAGGAAGGUGUUAAGGUUAAUAACCUUAGCAAUUGACGUUAGCGACAGAAGAAGCACCGGCUAACUCCGUGCCAGCAGCCGCGGUAAUACGGAGGGUGCGAGCGUUAAUCGGAAUUACUGGGCGUAAAGGGCACGCAGGCGGUUAAUUAAGUUGGAUGUGAAAUCCCCGGGCUUAACCUGGGAAUGGCAUUCAAGACUGGUUAGCUAGAGUCUUGUAGAGGGGGUAGAAUUCCAUGUGUAGCGGUGAAAUGCGUAGAGAUGUGGAGGAAUACCGGGUGGCGAAGGCGGCCCCUGGGACAAAGGACUGACGCUCAUGUGCGAAAGCGUGGGGAGCAAACAGGAUUAGAUACC
rnacentral:rRNA from 1 species